GGUGAUAUAGCCAAGAGGAAAGGCACAGGUCUGCAAAACCUUGAUCACCGGUUCAAAUCCGGUUAUCACCU
rfam:Enterococcus rotai strain LMG 26678 genome.